rnacentral:rRNA from 1 species
UACGUAGGGUGCAAGCGUUGUCCGGAAUUAUUGGGCGUAAAGAGCUCGUAGGCGGUCUGUCGCGUCUGCUGUGAAAACUCAGGGCUUAACCCUGAGCUUGCAGUGGGUACGGGCAGACUAGAGUGCGGUAGGGGAGACUGGAAUUCCUGGUGUAGCGGUGAAAUGCGCAGAUAUCAGGAGGAACACCGGUGGCGAAGGCGGGUCUCUGGGCCGAUACUGACGCUGAGGAGCGAAAGCGUGGGGGGCGAACAGG